CGGCCCGCCCGCCGCGCCGCCGCGCCCCGGCCCGGGGGGCCGCGCGGGCGGCCGGGCCUCGGCCUCCCCCGCGCCCAAGAAAGGGGCCCGCCGCCCGCCGCCCGCCGCCGGCUCCGCCAUGGCGCGACCCGGACGCGUGCCGCGGACGUGCGCGCCGACCUUGACUCCGGCCGGCGGCGGCCCGCGCCCGGCCUCGGGGUCCUCCUCCGUGGGCAUACGGGCGGCGGCUAGGCCGGCCUCGCGGGAGCCACGCCUUGGACACACAUUUAUUGAGCGCCUACUGUGUGCCAGGCUGUGCUCCGGGACCCGGGGCGCGGUGGGGGCGGGGUGCACGGCCCCGGGCCGGGUGGAGGCCGAGACAGGCCAGAGACAAAGCCCCAGAGCCAGCUCCCCGGCGGGUCGGACCCGCCGAGAGCCAAGGGGAAACGCGCGAGCCGUGGGCCGGGGAGGCCAGGCGCUGCUUUAGACAGGCCUGGGCCUCCAAGAAGCUGUGGAAACGGUGUUACCUUACCUCGGGCAGCGCGGCCCUCUCCAUGGCUGGGCUGCCUCUGGGCCUGCGCUGUUCCUGGGUGCACAGUGAGACCCUGCUCCACACUGAGCAGGCAAGGGGCCGCGACUAGAGCGGACGGUGAGCUCACCCGGGCCCGCCCAGUGCCGAGGGGAUGGAGCCCAGGGCCUCAUGCUAGGCAAGCUUUCUGCAGCUGAGCUACAUUCACCCCUACUUAUUUCUACUUUAUUUGGAGACAGGGUCUCACUAAGGUGCCUCGUCUGGCCUGGAGCUUGUGAUCUCCUGCCUUGGCCUCCGGAAUGGCCAGGAUGACGGGCGUGGCCAUCACACCAGGCCUUAAAGCAGGUAGGCUGGCAGCUGGCUGGCUUUUGCUGCUGGGACUUGAACCCAGGGAUGUGCCACCAAGGAGCUGCAUCCCUGGCACUUGAUUUUAUUUUUUAUUUUGAGACAAGGUCUUGCUAAUCUGCUAUGGGCCUUGGCGAAUUACUGAGACUGUCCUCAAACUUUCCAUCCUCCUACUUCAGCCUCCCAAGUUGUUGGGAUGACAAGUGUGUGCAGAGCCACAUCUGGCUUCUUUUCAAAAUGAAGAUCAGCACAAAAAGCCAGGCACAGGUAGCUAUGGUCCCAACUGCUUUCGAGGCAGAGGUGGGAGGAUCAGAUGAGCUCAGGAAUUAAUUUGAGUCCAGCCUGGGCCACAUAAUGAGACCCAUAAAUAAAAAAAAAAAAAAUCAGCAGCAG